UACGUAGGGUGCGAGCGUUAAUCGGAAUUAUUGGGCGUAAAGAGCUCGUAGGCGGUUCGUCGCGUCGGCUGUGAAAUCCCGAGGCUCAACCUCGGGUCUGCAGUCGAUACGGGCGGACUGGAGUUCGGCAGGGGAGACUGGAAUUCCUGGUGUAGCGGUGAAAUGCGCAGAUAUCAGGAGGAACACCGGUGGCGAAGGCGGGUCUCUGGGCCGAUACUGACGCUGAGGAGCGAAAGCGUGGGGAGCGAACAGG
rnacentral:rRNA from 1 species